rnacentral:rRNA from 1 species
AUUGAACGCUGGCGGAAGGAAGAACACAUGCAAGUCGAGCGGAUGAAGGGAGCUUGCUCCUGGAUUCAGCGGCGGACGGGUGAGUAAUGCCUAGGAAUCUGCCUGGUAGUGGGGGAUAACGUCCGGAAACGGGCGCUAAUACCGCAUACGUCCUGAGGGAGAAAGUGGGGGAUCUUCGGACCUCACGCUAUCAGAUGAGCCUAGGUCGGAUUAGCUGGUUGGUGGGGUAAAGGCCUACCAAGGCGACGAUCCGUAACUGGUCUGAGAGGAUGAUCAGUCACACUGGAACUGAGACACGGUCCAGACUCCUACGGGAGGCAGCAGUGGGGAAUAUUGGACAAUGGGCGAAAGCCUGAUCCAGCCAUGCCGCGUGUGUGAAGAAGGUCUUCGGAUUGUAAAGCACUUUAAGUUGGGAGGAAGUGCAGUAAGUUAAUACCUUGCUGUUUUGACGUUACCAACAGAAUAAGCACCGGCUAACUUCGUG